rnacentral:miRNA from 1 species
UUAGCUUGGUGCAAAAGUAAUUGCGGUUUUUGCCAUUGAAAGUAAUGGCAAAAACCGCAAUUACUUUUGCACCAACCU